UGGGGAAUAUUGGACAAUGGGCGAAAGCCUGAUCCAGCCAUGCCGCGUGAGUGAAGAAGGCCCUAGGGUUGUAAAGCUCUUUCAGGUGGGAAGAUGAUGACGGUACCACCAGAAGAAGCCCCGGCUAACUCCGUGCCAGCAGCCGCGGUAAUACGGAGGGGGCUAGCGUUGUUCGGAAUUACUGGGCGUAAAGCGCACGUAGGCGGCUCACCCAGUCAGGCGUGAAAGCCCCGGGCUCAACCUGGGAACUGCGCUUGAUACUGGUGGGCUAGAGUCCGGGAGAGGGUAGCGGAAUUCUCAGUGUAGAGGUGAAAUUCGUAGAUAUUGGGAAGAACACCGGUGGCGAAGGCGGCUACCUGGACCGGUACUGACGCUGAGGUGCGAAAGCGUGGGGAGCAAACAGGAUUAGAUACCCCCGUAGUCC
rnacentral:rRNA from 1 species